rnacentral:lncRNA from 1 species
AAAUUGAUCAAAGCAGGAAGUAAAAGAAAAAGUCAUUGUGGAAACAAACAAAAAGUAAGAUGUUGUAUCCAGACCUCACCCAACCACACUCUGUUCGUUCUCUUGCAAAAACUGUAUAUAUUCAACAGCCUGCAAUAGAAAAUGGUGUCAAGAAAACCAGCUUAAAUAAAUGGGUUGCAGCAUAUAAUCAAUAACCUUCUAGGUUUGUGCCUUAUUUGUUUUAUGAUACCCAGAACCAAGUUAUUUAUGUGCAUAUCUAGUUAGAACCCAACCGAAAUUAAUACAAUAUCUAAGGUGAAAAAAACAUAAAAAUUAAUAGACAAAAAAUUAGCAGGAUUAAGCACCACAUCGCGAGUGUUGCAUGUUGGAAAGGGUAAUCAUUAAGACUUCAAGGUCGGCCCAUCAUGAAUGAAAGCCUGCACAAAUGAACAAAUUAUGUAACAGAAAAUCAAUAUUCAGAGGAUUGUUAACUAACACCCCAGGGAGCAUUUUGAAGCAGGAAAAAUAUCAUGACAGAUUGAUUAACAUGAUUGUACCUUUUUUAGGCUCGACCUCCUAUAUG